CUUCCACCCUGGCAGGAACUAGCAGCUCUACUACCAGGGACAGGCUGCCCUCUACUCUCCUGAGCUGCCUAAGCAGGCAUGCCUGUGUGCUUGCCCACCCUGACACGAGAACAGGAACAAUGCCAACCACCAAAAAGAGGCCAUCGCCAGGUGGGCCUGUCUGGUUCUGCCACUAAAGCCCCAAAGACCUUGGCCUCCCAUGGAAGCAGAGGGAGUAGACCACUUCCCUCUGGACUUAGGAAUUGAUGAAGAAAGCACUCACUUGGAGAAAUGUGAGAACUGUCAGGUGCUAAUCACCUGCCCAGAGCAGGUCCUAAUGAUGUCAUAGCUCAGAAACAUCCAGAGCAGGAGAAUAUCCAUCCCAGGACACCAACUGUGGUCCUCCUACAACAUGCUACCAAAGCCAAGGUAGUAUGUUUCUUCCUGGCAGACUGCCUAAGAGACCUUGUGUCAGAAGGUUUUCCACUUGGAACCACUUGGCCAUAAGGUCCACUUAACUGUUCCUAAAAUCUACUGAGGGUAGGGGUUUUGAAUUCACAUUCAAAAACAUUCCAUUCCAUUUGAAUUUAGGUUCACAAGUAAGGGUCACUUGGGUACAAUACCAAUCCUGCUGGGAGCUUCUUUGUAUAUAACCCACACUGCAAGAUUCCCACAAUUCCAGUGUUUCAUGUUGGGAGAGCCUCCCUUGGAAACGGAUGGACCGGGGAGGUAAGACAGAGCAUGGCACAAUUGACAGCUGUCAGUCUGCACAGCGGAAGGGCAGCAAUUCUCAGGCCCACUGCUGCCAGAAGAAAGCUAACAGACAUGGAAGAACCAGCCUCAGCAGGUUGUGAGCGUGGGUUAAUGCUACUAUCUUUCUGACCACCCAUAUCCCUCCCAAGAACAGAGCUGAUAUGCUGAGUGGCCUCAAAGAGAUAAACUAUAGUCCUUACAAGAA
rnacentral:lncRNA from 1 species